rnacentral:lncRNA from 1 species
CUUCUUAUCGCCGUCAGCCGGUCGUCGUCUCUUCGGCGAUCUCUCUCUGUCGCUCUCUUCAAGGUCAACAGCACCUAUUAUAGUCACCUCCCCUCGACGUCGAGUCUGAGCUGUUGGAAUCGCCGCCGCGAAGGACUGCUCUGUCGUCGUCGCUGCUCGAUUUGUUAGUGUCCGUCUCUCUGUCUGAGGGUCGGAGCUCAACGUCCUUUCUCUCUGUCUCUCACACGGCGACGUCUCUCUCUGCCCGGCUACGGAGUAUUAGCCGCUUUGUCACCUUGCAUCGGUUAUUUUGUUAAUUUUGUUAAUUUGAUUUAUGAGUUGCUGGUUGCUGAUUUUUCUGAUUCAGUUGGGCAAUGCUUCACUACAUUGUUGGUUAUUUAUGCUGGAAUUUUUCUGAUUCUGAGUUAUGCUAUGAUUUUGAUUUUUGUGAUUCAGUUGUUGAUGGUGUUAUGGGCAGUGCUUUACUAUAUUGGUCAUUGUUUAUGCUGGAAUUCUUUUAUUCUAAGUUAUGCUAUGAUUUUUAUUUUUCUUAUUCAGCUGUUGAUGGUGGUAUAGGCAGUGCUUCACUGCAUUGUUUAUUAUUAAUGCUGAAAUUUUUUUA